UUUUUAUCCGGUAUAAUCAUUUAUACUGGAAAACCAAAAACCAUUCAAAUUUCAAAAAUAUAAUAUUUUUUCACAUAUUUUUCGGCCUGUUUUAAGUUAAGGUUUGAACUCAAGUUAUUGGCAUAUUCUCACAAGCCGAACCGUGAUGCUUCUUGCUCAGGAAAUCAAAGUGUUCUCAAGAUUUGUCAGUGGCCUAAGACAACGAGCGAAGGGAUACACCUGGACAGCAGUUGGCUGGGGGUCUUUGGCGGGCGCUGUUGGUCUUUACAUGACAGAUUGGAAGCUUGUGAUGCAGUAUGUUCCCUUUGUCAACAAGAAAUACGAUCAUGAAAUACCGAGCUAACAAUUGGCCGGAACAUUAAUGCAAAUGCAAAAUAAAGGAUGAAACUGUAUCAUAAUCAACAGCUUGGUUUUUUAUGUUGUUCAAUAUUUAAAUAAUAUAAUAUUUCCUUAUCAAAA